CGGGGCAACCCGCAAGUAGAGUGGCGCAAGGGCGAGGAAUACAUUUCUAACGUGCCCCGAGGUCAGGGACAGCUCAGGGAAACCUGAAUUAAUACCUGAUGAUCCCGUCGAGCCGCAGGGCUUGACGGGCAAAGGCUUGCUGCCUUGGGAUCGGGAAAUGUCCUAUCAGCUAGUUGGUGAGGUAACGGCUCACCAAGGCUAAGACGGGUAGCGGGUGUGAGAGCACGGCCCGCCGCAUCGGGACUGAGACACUGCCCGGACUCCUACGGGAGGCUGCAGUAACGAAUAUUCCGCAAUGCGCGAAAGCGUGACGGAGCAAUGCCGCGUGAAGGACGAAGCCCCUCGGGGUGUAAACUUCUGUCAGGGUUCACCAAUUUUGAGGAGACCCAAAGGAAGGGCCGACUAACUCUGUGCCAGCAGUCGCGGUAAUACAGAGGGCCCGAGCGUUGCGCGGAUUCACUGGGCUUAAAGGGUGCGUAGGCGGACGUGAAAGUGUCUUGUGAAAUACCACGGCUUAACCGUGGAAUGGCUGGGCAAACUACACGUCUUGAGCCCGACAGGGGCCGUUGGAACUGUAGGUGGAGCGGUGAAAUGCGUAGAUAUCUACAGGAACGCCAAAGGUGAAGACAGACGGCUG
rnacentral:rRNA from 1 species